rnacentral:rRNA from 1 species
CCGGCCAACUACGUGCCAGCAGCCGCGGUAAUACGUAGGGUCCGAGCGUUGUCCGGAAUUACUGGGCGUAAAGAGCUUGUAGGCGGUUCGUCGCGUCGUUUGUGAAAACUUGGGGCUCAACCUUAAGCUUGCAGGCGAUACGGGCGGACUAGAGUACUUCAGGGGAGACUGGAAUUCCUGGUGUAGCGGUGAAAUGCGCAGAUAUCAGGAGGAACACCGGUGGCGAAGGCGGGUCUCUGGGAAGUAACUGACGCUGAGAAGCGAAAGCAUGGGUAGCAAACAGGAUUAGAUACCCUGGUAGUCCAUGCCGUAAACGGUGGGUACUAGGUGUGGGGCUCCUUCCACGGACUCCGUGCCGUAGCUAACGCAUUAAGUACCCCGCCUGGGGAGUACGGCCGCAAGGCUAAAACUCAAAGAAAUUGACGGGGGCCCGCACAAGCGGCGGAGCAUGUGGAUUAAUUCGAUGCAACGCGAAGAACCUUACCUGGGUUUGACAUACACCGGAAACCUGCAGAGAUGUAGGCCCCCUUGUGGUCGGUGUACAGGUGGUGCAUGGCUGUCGUCAGCUCGUGUCGUGAGAUGUUGGGUUAAGUCCCGCAACGAGCGCAACCCUUAUCUUAUGUUGCCAGCGCGUAAUGGCGGGGACUCGUGAGAGACUGCCGGGGUCAACUCGGAGGAAGGUGGGGACGACGUCAAGUCAUCAUGCCCCUUAUGUCCAGGGCUUCACACAUGCUACAAUGGCCGGUACAGAGGGCUGCGAUACCGCGAGGUGGAGCGAAUCCCUUAAAGCCGGUCUCAGUUCGGAUCGGGGUCUGCAACUCGACCCCGUGAAGUUGGAGUCGCUAGUAAUCGCAGAUCAGCAACGCUGCGGUGAAUACGUUCCCGGGCCUUGUACACACCGCCCGUCACGUCAUGAAAGUCGGUAACACCCGAAGCCGGUGGCCUAACCCCUUGUGGGAGGGAGCCGUCGAAGGUGAUUCGCGGGA